GAUGAAGAACGUAGCGAAAUGCGAUAAGUAAUGUGAAUUGCAGAAUUCAGUGAAUCAUCGAAUCUUUGAACGCACCUUGCGCUCCUUGGCAUUCCGAGGAGCAUGCCUGUUUGAGUGUCAUUAAAUUCUCAAGACCUGUCUGCUUUUUUGAUAGGUAUUGGAUUUUGGGGGUUGCAGGCUGUUUCAAAUAAAUAGCCUUGCUCUCCUUGAAUGUAUUAGUGGAGAAAAGCCAUUGAACUCCAUUAGUGUGAUAAAACCUAUCAAUGCCAGGAGCAAUAUCACUACUUCUCUCUGCUGUCUAACUGUGACUGUCUGUAUUAAUUAGUAUGGAUGGGGACAACUUGACCAACUUGACCUCAAAUCAGGUAGGACUACCCGCUGAACUUAAGCAUAUCAAUAAGCGGAGGA
rnacentral:misc_RNA from 1 species